rnacentral:siRNA from 1 species
AGAUGUUCAAAUGGAUGCCUGAUC